rnacentral:lncRNA from 1 species
CAACAGCAUCACGCCCCUGGGGCUCAGGGUUGGAGGUGAGCCUUUACCUUUCCUCUGUCUUCCUGCAGAAAGAUGUUUAUACCCAGUGACAGCCACUACCCAGCCACCAGCGCAGGGCCUGAAAGCUGAGCCUACACUGGGAACUAUUUACUGUCAGCUGCUCUCUGUCAGCAGGCUCCGGAGCCACAGGGACUCUAAGGAAGCAAAGAUUGAGAGCCAGCUGAAGAGGAGAGAGAGGCUGCAGAGGAUACCUGAACCGGGGAGCUGGUUGGGUUCCCACAGGGCACUGCGAGGCGUUGCCUGGUGUUGGAGAACGAGCUGGCCCCUGGCUGAUCUUAAACAGCGCGGCUGAGGGCCAUAGCGAGGGUACUGUGUAAGCCAUGAAGCUUUGGGUCAUCGGCACCGCCAGUUCCCUGUGCUUCUAGCUCUGCAUGAAACCAAGGGCCAUAAAGAGGCGGCAGGAGUCCCUAAGGAGAAGGAGGAACUGCAGCUGAGGGGGCCAUGCAGGACACAGGGAGGACUGGCAAGAGAUCAAGACUGAGCUGGCCAAGACUGUACAUGGAAGAAUCCAACGCCAGCCAGAAGCUCACAGAGGAAGCGCGAGACUGUACGAUUAACACGAAGGACUCCCUCAGGGUCUCAUAGACCUAGGCUGGUCCAGGUGGGGACUGUGGCGAUGCCAGGAAAGGAAGAAAAGGUGUGAGAUGGGGAGAAGAUAAGAAGAGGGCUGCAGGAGUGAAGGCUGGGGCUAGCCCCAGCUCCCAAGUAUGCUGGCGACUCCAUGUGUCUGCUUCCUUCUGCUGCUCAGCUGCUGUAGCAAUGACAAUGACAGUUAUGGCUUCGAGAUAUUCUUAGCUGUAAGUCUAAUGUUUCAUCUGGAAUAAAUAUCAAACUUGGAUUAAGACAAGUGCACUUGAGCUUCACAAGCAUGUAUGCACAUAAACACACUCAAACACACAUACAAACACACUCAUACACACAUACACACAAACACACACAUACAUAUACACAUACACACAAGCACACACACAAACAUACACAUGCACACAUACAUAUACACAUACAUACAAAUGCACACACACAAAACCACACACACACACACAAAACCACAUACACAUACAAACAAACACCCACACACAUGCACACACACAAACACACACACACACACACACACACACACACACACACACAAGCUGUUCUAGUUUUUUUCCAAGUUCACAGAUAGGAACCUUCUGCCUUGUUUAGACUUUAUUUUUUCACACAGGGUCUCAUGUCUUCCAGGCCGGUCUCAAACUCCCUAUGUAGCUGAGAAUGACCUUGAACUUUAAUACCCUCUUCCCUCCACCUCCUGAGUGCUGGAAUUAGAGGUGUGCGACACCACACUCCAUUCAUGUGGAUCAAUCCAGGGUUUUAUGCCCUGAGCUGCGUCUCUAAGCUGCGAUGUCAUUUCUUUUGGGUUUGUCCUGAAAGUUCAACACACCCCAAUUAAACCCAGAGA